UACGGGGGGGGCAAGCGUUGUUCGGAAUUACUGGGCGUAAAGGGCUCGUAGGCGGCCAACUAAGUCAGACGUGAAAUCCCUCGGCUUAACCGGGGAACUGCGUCUGAUACUGGAUGGCUUGAGUUUGGGAGAGGGAUGCGGAAUUCCAGGUGUAGCGGUGGAAUGCGCAGAUAUCAGGAAGAACACCAACGGCGAAGGCAGCUCGCUGGGACGGUACUGACGCUGAGACGCGAAAGCGUGGGGAGCGAACAGG
rnacentral:rRNA from 1 species